UAGGGUAUCUUCGGCAAUGGGGGCAACCCUGACCGAGCAACGCCGCGUGAGUGAAGAAGGUUUUCGGAUCGUAAAGCUCUGUUGUAAGAGAAGAACGUGUGUGAGAGUGGAAAGUUCACACAGUGACGGUAACUUACCAGAAAGGGACGGCUAACUACGUGCCAGCAGCCGCGGUAAUACGUAGGUCCCGAGCGUUGUCCGGAUUUAUUGGGCGUAAAGCGAGCGCAGGCGGUUUAAUAAGUCUGAAGUUAAAGGCAGUGGCUUAACCAUUGUUCGCUUUGGAAACUGUAAACCUUGAGUGCAGAAGGGGAGAGUGGAAUUCAAUGUGUAGCGGUGAAAUGCGUAGAUAUAUGGAGGAACACCAGUGGCGAAAGCGGCUCUCUGGUCUGUAACUGACGCUGAGGCUCGAAAGCGUGGGGAGCAAACAGG
rnacentral:rRNA from 1 species